rnacentral:lncRNA from 1 species
UUUUUUUUAUUUGAUCUGAUUUGACUUAUCUUCUGCUUUCAGUGGGCGCAUGACAUAUACGAUCUGAAGGUUGGCUAUCGAAAGAUUGCUGACUUCCAUCGAUUCUGGAUGGACAAAGUGACGGCCGCGAAUGCUAAGAAGACGGUUGCCCUUGAACAACUCCAGGCGGCGACUGAGUGGGAGGCGAAGCUUUAGGAAGAAGUCUUCUAUUUGACCGUCGAUCUAC